AAACUCCGGUUGCUUCAUCUUG
rnacentral:miRNA from 1 species